rnacentral:siRNA from 1 species
CCAAGCGCAACAACGGAACCCUA